rnacentral:tRNA from 1 species
GGGGUUGUGGUCUAGUGGUAUGACAUCUUCUUAGCAUUGCUCUUUGGGCAUUACUGAGUGGAGAAGGUUCUGGGUUCGAUUCCCAGCUACUCCA